rnacentral:rRNA from 1 species
CCUACGGGAGGCUGCAGUGAGGAAUAUUGGUCAAUGGCCGGAAGGCUGAACCAGCCAUGCCGCGUGAAGGUCAGUGCCCUAUGGGCGUUAAACUUCUUUUGUGCGGGAGCAAUAAUGGUCACGUGUGGCCAGACGAGAGUACCGUACGAAUAAGCAUCGGCUAACUCCGUGCCAGCAGCCGCGGUAAUACGGGGGAUGCCAGCGUUAUCCGGAUUUAUUGGGUUUAAAGGGUGCGUAGGCUGUGAGUAAAGUCAGCGGGGAAAUGCCCCCGCUCAACGGGGUGAAGUGCCAUUGAUACUGCCUUGCUGGAAUGCGGAUGCCGUGGGAGGAAUGUGUGGUGUAGCGGUGAAAUGCAUAGAUAUCACACAGAACACCGAUUGCGAAGGCAUCUCACGAAUCCGCGAUUGACGCUGAUGCACGAAAGCGUGGGUAUCAAACAGGAUUAGAUACCCUGGUAGUC